AACGACAUCUUUGAGAGAAAUGCGAACUACCGGGUUUCUUCGGCACUUCGCGUUGUAAGUCUCUUCCAUAUUAUUUUUGGAAGCCAUUGGAUGUGGACGCUUCGAAAUCCGUAGUAAUCGAACACUUCCAGAAAAAUUUAGCGGUCUUCGAUCUGCAGAAUGAGAGCUAAGUGGCGGAAGAAGAGGAUGCGUAGGCUAAAGCGCAAAAGGAGGAAGAUGCGUGCGAGGUCCAAGUAAAUGACUUCUACAUGAUCUUUGUGGGUGAAACUUCUGCACGAUGUCCCAAGUCGACUUGCUCAUGUGGCGAACCUUUGUUCUCGGACAUUCGUUGUGUCCGUGUGAGCAUAAGGCAUAUCAGGCAUAAGAAGAACAAAUGUAUGAAUUCACAUCGCUUGAGGUUAAUCUUCAUUGAAGCUGCAAGAAAAAUCAUUGCUUUCAAGAAAUCUCAAUGGAUGUUUUGUCCCACAGAGAACAUUUUAUACACUUGUACUCAAAUAAAACUUAAAAAUUAA